AUCCAUCAAGCAUAUAUCACAACAUGCAUUUCUCAUAUUUCACACAAUCAAGGCAUCAAUAUUCAUAAUCACAUAUAUGAACACAUCAUAUAUUUCAACCAUUCAACAAUACCAACAAUUCAAUGCCUAUCUUAGGGCCUCUAGCCUAAGUAUUUCCUACCACAUUACAUAUUAGAUACGGGAAACUAAAACUAUACCUUAGCCGAUUCCCCAAGCUCAACCGGAGCACUUCCAAACCACU
rnacentral:lncRNA from 1 species